UGAAACACGGACCAAGGAGUUUGACAUGUAUGCUAGUUAGCAAGCGUACAAACCCGUAGGGCACAAGGAAGUUGACGGGCGAGAUCCCCCAGUAGGCUGCACUGUCAGCCGACCUUGAUCUUCUAAGAGGGGUUCGAGUGAGAGCAUGCCUAUCAAGACCUAAAAGAUGGUGAACUAUGCCUUAUCGGGGCAAAGCUAGAGGAAACAUUGGUGGAGGCCCACAGUGACAUUGACGUGCAAAUUGUUUGUCUGACUUUGGUAUAGGGGCAAAAGGCUAAUCAAACCGUCUAGUAACUGGUUCCUUCCGAAGUUUUCCUCAAGAUAGCUGGAGUCCAUGGGCAAGUUCUAUUGGGUAAAGCCAAUGAUUAGAGGUAUUAGGGGUGCAAUGCCCUUAACCUAUUCUCAAACUUUAAAUAGGUAGGAGGGUGCAGCUGCUCUGUUGAGUCGCGCCUCGAAAUCGAGAGCUCCAAGCAACCCAUUUUCGGUAAGCAGAAUUGAUAAUGCGGGAUGAAUUAAAAGCCGGGUUACAAUACCCGGCUACGCGCUAACCCAAAACCCAUAAAGGGUGUUGGUUGAUUAAGAUAGUAGGACGGUGGUCAUGGAAGUCAAAAUCCACUGAGGGUGUAAUAGCUCACCUACCGAAUCAAUUAGCCUCGAAAAUGGAUGGCACAAAGUGCGUAACCCAUACCCGGCCAUCAGGGCAAUCAACAUGCCCUGAUGAGUGUGGCGACCGCCACAAAACCAUGGGCGUGAGCUCAGGCGGAGUGGCUGUUAGUGCGGAUCUUGGUGGUAGUAGCAAAUAUUCAAAUGAGAAUGUUGAAGGCUAAAGAGGGAAAAGGUUCCAUAUGAAUGACACUUACACAUGGGUUAGUUGAUCCUAAGAGACGGGGGAAGCCCGUCAAAGAGCGUACGGCACGCGAACAUCGAAAGGGAAUUAGGUUAAGAUUCUUGAACCAGGACGCGGCGACUGACAGCAACAUUAGAAAGUCCAGAGACAUCGGCGUGAGCCUCAAGAAGAGUUAUCUUUUUUGUUUAAUAGCCUACCCACCUUAGAAAUGGCUCGACCGGAGGUGGGGUCCAACAGCUGGAAGAGCAUUGCACAUUGCACGAUGUCCGAUGCACUCCCGGCGGCCCAUGAAAAAUCGAAGGACCGAGUGCCGCCCAUGCGUGGUCAUACUCAUAACGGCAUCAGGUCUCGAAGGUAACAGCUCUAGCCAGUGGAACAAUGUAGGCAAGGGAAGUCGACAAAAUAGAUCUAUAACCUUACGAAAACGAUUCGCUCUAAGGGUUAGGCAUGAAGGUCCUGGUCCCGAACCCAUCGGCUAUCGGCGGAUUGCUUGAGCUGCUCCCAUGGCAAGAGUGGGUUGCUACAUGCCAGCCGGAGGAUGGACCAGGAACGGCCCCCUUGGGGGCCUUCCCCAUGCGUUAAAUAGCUGGCUCAGAAUUAGUACGAACAGGAAAAAUUCGAUUGUUUAAUUAAAACGAAGCAUUGCGAUGGUCCCCGCGGAUGCUCUUGCAAUGUGAUUUCUGCCUAGUGCUCUGAAUGUCAAAGAAAUUCAACCAAGUGCGAGUAAAUGAUGAGAGUAACUAUGACUCUCUUAAGGUAGCCAAAUGCCUCUUCAUCUAAUUAGUGACGUGCAUGAAUGGAUUAACAAGAUUCUCAUUAUCCUUGUCUACUAUCUAGCGAAACCACAGCCAAGGAAAUGGGCUUGGCAGAAUCAGUGGGGCAAGAAGACCCUGUUGAGCUUGACUUUAGUACACCUUUGUGAAAUGACUUGAGAGGUGUAGGAUAAGUGGGAGCCAUCUUAGCGGCACAGGUGAAAUACCACUACUUUUAACGUUAUUUUACUUAUUUCGUGAGGCAGAGGUGGGGCGACACUCUCCCUUUUAGCGUGAAGGCUUGCCCCGGUGGGCCAAUCCGGACAGAAAACAUUAUCAGGUGGGGAGUUUGGCUAGGGCAGCACAUCUAUUAAAAGAUAACGUAGGUGUCCUAAGAUGAGUUCGACGAGAAUAGAAAUAUCGUGUGGAACAAAAGGGUAAAAGCUUGUUUGAUUCUGAUUUUCAAUACGAAUACGAACCAUGAAAGCGUGGCCUAUUGAACCUUUAGGCCUUCGGGAUUUAAAGUUAAAGGUGUCAGAAAAGUUACCAUAAGGAUAACUGGCUUGUGGCAACCAAGUAUUCAUAGCAAUGUUGCUUUUUUAUCCUUCAAUGUCGGCUCUUCCUAUCAUUGUGAAGUAGAAUUCACCAAGUGUCGGAUUGUUCACCCACAAAUAGGGAAUGUGAGUUGGGUUUAGACAUUCGUGAGAUAGAUUAGUUUUAUCCUACUAAUGAUAAGCUGUGAUAGUAAUUCAACCUUGUACGAGAGGAACCGUUGAUUCACA
rnacentral:rRNA from 1 species